GGGGAGUGGAACCUCAACCCAGCACGUUAUCGUGAUAGAGUCUGCAGAGGCUGCAGGUUCUGGGGUCAAGCUGGAGAGGUCUGAAAGAGAGGAYGACCCAUGGCAUAGCAGAGACACRCAGACUCGAGCGGCUGUAGYGCCCCAUGUAGCCACAAAGGACUCCCCCACCAUCGCCCCAGCGCCUCCCAGGACCCGACACAGAAUCAAGGAGGAGGAGGGUCCAGAGGUGCUGCUGGUGAAGGAGGAGGGGUA